CAUUAUCUGGUUAGUUGUCUAUGAGCUACAUGACAUGGUGUUCAAAAUCCCUGGAAACGGGAAAACACUUGACUGCUCUGCCAAAUGCAUAAACCUGCCAAAGAUGUUUUGCUGUUCUCCAAGCCUUGGGUUUUUUUUUUUUUUUUUUGGCUGGUCAGCUUUAGAGACCAGCUAAGCCAUUUGAAUACAAGCCUAGACUCCAUGAUUCUAAUAGCUGUCAACAUCUAAAACAUUUAAAAACCUUUGAAGAAAUCUAACAGCAAAACAUCAAGCAUUAAUAAUACAUUCAUUAAAAAAGACACUGGCACUCUGUUGUACUAUAAGAACAUCAGCUGAGCACUCUUGCCUGUAUAUUGUGUCUGUAGAUUUCCUGUUUGGAGAGCAGCCUGUGGAAGAGCCGGAGACGUUCUGGGAACGGCGGGAUAAGUUUAGGGCAGACUGGAUUCCAGAGGCAAUGCCUGAGCUGGAGGCCAUGGUGAGAGAUGAGGAUAUACAAGAACUCAUGGAGGGCACUGAAGACUUGCCAGCCAUCUGGGUUAUAUCGGACAAGUUUCAGCCUCGUGCUCCAUCCUCCGUUCAAAUAGAUGUUAGCGGCAGCUAGCAUGAAAUAAGUACAAGACUCUUCUCCUCUGAAUGCUAACACUGAUAUACUGUGAUAAAAUGUCAUCCAUCUAGUGCAAGAUGAGUCGUCGUUAUUUUUCUUUUUUUCCCAGAAGAGAAAGACUGUCAUUUUUUUAUGUGUAUAUCUGCUCAACGUGAAUUCUGUCAAUAUUUGUGAGAGCAGUUGGAUAGAGAUGACCUCAAAGCAAACCUGAGUGACAUGCUGUGAUCUGUGACCUCUCUAAUGGAUUUUGUACUUUGGACACCAAGAAUCCUUCACAUAUUUACAGACGACUGAGAGGAACGCAGCAGUGCGUGCGGACUGUAAAUUCAUCAUGUUUCAUCUACAGAAUAUCGUUGCCUUCAUAAUAAUCUCUGCCUCUAUUUGUCAGGCUCAAGCUGGUGGUCAACGGGCAUCAUCAGAUACAGCUAAAGUCACAUUACAGCCGUGGCUGGUGGGACUGACAGCAGUUGUUGUUUUUCUCUUUAUUGUCUUUGUCCUCCUCAUCGUGAAAAGACUCUUUUUCAAGAAAGACAAAGAUGAGCUAGAAGAAGAAAGGCAUUCAUUUUAUGAAAACAAAGCAGCUGAUCUGGAGGCAAAUGAGGAGACCAAGCAGACCACUUUCUAAUGAGAAGAACAGAUGACCACAGUCCUGCAGCACACAAAUCUUUCUCUCUCUGGAAAUUAUGCCACAACUUUGUGCAGAGUAAUUAUAAUACUAUCUUAUGUAAUAUAUCUUUUUAACAUUAAUUUUGGUCUAAGUUUUGUUUUUGUCUUCAUAAGUGUUGUUCCUCACAUCAUCCACUAGAUGGAGCAGACUUCACCUAGUCACAGCUUUAAACUAAAGUUAAAAUAAAAAAAGGUUCCAAUAAAG
ensembl:lncRNA